CUCUAUGGUAGGGCGGAAGGGGGACGUCUUUGUACGUGCUGGUUUCUUUGUUUACCAGUCUGCUAACCCUCUUUCGUUCUGCCACCAUU
rfam:Cajanus cajan Scaffold130817_1, whole genome shotgun sequence.